ACCAAAUUAUACAGGUGGCUGCCCCAAACCUUUUUCAUGACUCAAAUGUCUCGUUCUUGUGACAACAGGAAGACCAAGUAAGUGCUGAGCUAACACACAGGGCUGGUCUUCUUUUGAAAUGUCUCAUCCUCACAAUUUUGAUGAUUUUUUUUUUGGUUCAGAAAUUACACUUAUAAACUGUUUUACAAUGUGUGUGUAAUCGGCAGGCGCGGAUCAAUACUCAGCAACUGCCUUGGCUUGAGAAAUGGACGUAUUUUAAGGUUUUUCUCCGUGCUGCAUAGACAGUAAUCAAAGUGCCAGUUCAGGCAAGAUAUAUUUUUCUAUUCAUUUAUAAAGAACGAUUAAGUUUAGAACACAACAAAUAGCAUGUGUGUAAAGAAAUAACCAAAACUUGAAAACGAACCAACUUAUUCUUCAAAACAUAUUAAGUCUUCCGGACAGGAACUAAACGUUCGACACUUCAUGUGUCAAUGGCACAAACUUUGCUAGAAGUGAAACGCCAUUUGUUUUACAAAUUAUUUGUAAAGCAAAACACCAACUCUGACUGAGUUCAGAUUUGCAGCAAUUGUUUAGCACGUCACCAGACGUGAUGCGAAAAUUCAUUUGUUGUUCUUCAUUCUACAAAAUGCCAGCACAGGGGUUUUAUAAUAUGAGGGAACCAUUUAUUAAUCAUUUUUUAAAAACUGUAUGUUGAAUCAUUUCCGAUGUCAUUUCAGGUUUUGCUGCAUUGCUUCAGCAGUGGUUUUGGACGGGUUUGAAGAUCGAGACCCCAAAGUUCACCACACUACGGGUUAAAAGGUCAGCCUUUGGCGUACUUCCUUGUCCGAGUUUGUGGAUACCAAAACCAUUAAUUGUUCUUCUGCUUCUAAAACUUUUUCUAAAAGCAUUUGCUGGUUCUUGACGCCAGCUUCGACUCUGGAUCCUGCGGUUCUUGACUUAGCUGUUGAUGAAAACGUGUCUCUCAGAGAGGAGAUCCUCCAGCUGAGGAAACAAACUGAGACCCUUACAAUGAAGCAGCGGUUUGCCAUUCACGGUUUUGCUGGCUCAGGUAGAGACAUUUGCUUUUUUACGAGAAACAUCCAGAGCACGGCUGCCAGAACUGAGGGAAUUCUCCUGCCAUGUUGAAGAACACAAAUAACUGGAGUGAAAUCACCUUGAAGACGUGGGGAGUACGUGCAGAGACAGUGACAGGGCUGGGAAUUGGAGCCGGCGCCAUGACCACUCGCCUGCUGUGCCAUCAUGCCAUCCAGGUUGUGGGUUCAAGUCCUGCUACUGCCACUGUGUGACCCUGAGCCAGUCACCUGACCAGUCUGUGCUCCGAUUGGAAAAACAAAAGAAAUGUAACCAAUUGUAUCAUAAAUGCUGUAAGUUGCCUUGGAUGAAGGUGUCAGCCAAAUAAAUAAUGUACAUUUACUGAGGGGGUUGAGUGGGGUGGUAUUGAUGGGCAG